GAGUCUAAUGUAUGCAGGUCGAGUGAAACUCAUUUGGGAUGAUCCCUGAACCCAAAUCGCAUGCACCCUGUGAUUCAAAUCCUCUCAGAUUUUCGAUUCAGCCGUUCAUCCCAACUCUAUUGUUUCUUUCACAUCUAACUGAGCUCGACUUUUCAUGUUCUAACAUUUUGUCCCAAAACUUCCCACGUUGCACUGUUUAAACUCGUAUCACAUUCAUUAGACUUUAUCCCGAUUGAAACCAGCCAUUCCAGUCAUUCCAUCAUCCACGAAUUAAUUCCCCUGCUUUACAUCUCGUGC
rnacentral:lncRNA from 1 species